rnacentral:lncRNA from 1 species
UCCCUACUUACAUACUUUACUACAAUUGAUAAAAAGAGGGUUUAAUUUGUGUGCUUAUAUAUUUCGCAUCAAUCAUGGUUACCCAAGCUAAUCAGAAGAGGUGGAGAGCCUAUUCAGUUUAGGAUUACAAAUGCAAUAUGGUCUUUCUCUAAUACAAUACUCUUGACCACAUUGUUUGGUUUGAUAGUUUGUUCAUGUCUACUAUCCAAUGUGAUUCGUGUGCUUAUAUGA